GACGAACGCUGGCGGCGUGCUUAACACAUGCAAGUCGAACGGAAAGGCCCUGCUUUUGUGGGGUGCUCGAGUGGCGAACGGGUGAGUAACACGUGAGUAACCUGCCCUUGACUUUGGGAUAACUUCAGGAAACUGGGGCUAAUACCGGAUAGGAGCUCCUGCUGCAUGGUGGGGGUUGGAAAGUUUCGACGGUUGGGGAUGGACUCGCGGCUUAUCAGCUUGUUGGUGGGGUAGUGGCUUACCAAGGCUUUGACGGGUAGCCGGCCUGAGAGGGUGACCGGCCACAUUGGGACUGAGAUACGGCCCAGACUCCUACGGGAGGCAGCAGUGGGGAAUAUUGCACAAUGGGCGGAAGCCUGAUGCAGCAACGCCGCGUGCGGGAUGACGGCCUUCGGGUUGUAAACCGCUUUCGCCUGUGACGAAGCGUGAGUGACGGUAAUGGGUAAAGAAGCACCGGCUAACUACGUGCCAGCAGCCGCGGUGAUACGUAGGGUGCGAGCGUUGUCCGGAUUUAUUGGGCGUAAAGGGCUCGUAGGUGGUUGAUCGCGUCGGAAGUGUAAUCUUGGGGCUUAACCCUGAGCGUGCUUUCGAUACGGGUUGACUUGAGGAAGGUAGGGGAGAAUGGAAUUCCUGGUGGAGCGGUGGAAUGCGCAGAUAUCAGGAGGAACACCAGUGGCGAAGGCGGUUCUCUGGGCCUUUCCUGACGCUGAGGAGCGAAAGCGUGGGGAGCGAACAGGCUUAGAUACCCUGGUAGUCCACGCUGUAAACGGUGGGUACUAGGUGUGGGGUCCAUUCCACGGGUUCCGUGCCGUAGCUAACGCUUUAAGUACCCCGCCUGGGGAGUACGGCCGCAAGGCUAAAACUCAAAGGAAUUGACGGGGCCCCGCACAAGCGGCGGAGCAUGCGGAUUAAUUCGAUGCAACGCGUAGAACCUUACCUGGGUUUGACAUGGAUCGGGAGUGCUCAGAGAUGGGUGUGCCUCUUUUGGGGUCGGUUCACAGGUGGUGCAUGGCUGUCGUCAGCUCGUGUCGUGAGAUGUUGGGUUAAGUCCCGCAACGAGCGCAACCCUUGUUCACUGUUGCCAGCACGUUAUGGUGGGGACUCAGUGGAGACCGCCGGGGUCAACUCGGAGGAAGGUGGGGAUGACGUCAAGUCAUCAUGCCCCUUAUGUCCAGGGCUUCACGCAUGCUACAAUGGCUGGUACAGAGAGUGGCGAGCCUGUGAGGGUGAGCGAAUCCCGGAAAGCCGGUCUCAGUUCGGAUUGGGGUCUGCAACUCGACCUCAUGAAGUCGGAGUCGCUAGUAAUCGCAGAUCAGCAACGCUGCGGUGAAUACGUUCCCGGGGCU
rnacentral:rRNA from 1 species